rnacentral:rRNA from 1 species
UUGUUCUACGGGGGGCAGCAGUAGGGAAUAUUGCUCAAUGGGGGAAACCCUGAAGCAGCAACGCCGCGUGGAGGAUGAAGGUUUUCGGAUUGUAAGCUCCUUUUGUUAGAGAAGAUAAUGACGGUAUCUAACGAAUAAGCACCGGCUAACUCCGUGCCAGCAGCCGCGGUAAUACGGAGGGUGCAAGCGUUACUCGGAAUCACUGGGCGUAAAGAGCGCGUAGGCGGGAUAGCAAGUCAGAUGUGAAAUCUUAUGGCUUAACAAUAGAACUGCAUUUGAAACUUGUAUUUUAGAG